UACGUAGGGUGCGAGCGUUAAUCGGAAUUACUGGGCGUAAAGCGCGUGUAGGCUGCUCUGCGUGUCGGAUGUGAAAGCCCUGGGCUCAACCUAGGAAGUGCAUUCGAAACUGCAGAGCUGGAGUCCUGGAGAGGAAGGCGGAAUUCUCGGUGUAGAGGUGAAAUUCGUAGAUAUCGAGAGGAACACCGGUGGCGAAGGCGGCCUUCUGGACAGUGACUGACGCUGAGACGCGAAAGCGUGGGGAGCAAACAGG
rnacentral:rRNA from 1 species